UACGGAGGGUGCAAGCGUUAUCCGGAUUAACUGGGUUUAAAGGGUGCGUAGGUGGGCAGGUAAGUCAGUGGUGAAAUCUCCGGGCUUAACUCGGAAACUGCCAUUGAUACUAUCUUUCUUGAAUACCGUGGAGGUCAGCGGAAUAUGUCAUGUAGCGGUGAAAUGCUUAGAUAUGACAUAGAACACCAAUUGCGAAGGCAGCUGGCUACACGAAUAUUGACACUGAUGCACGAAAGCGUGGGGAUCAAACAGG
rnacentral:rRNA from 1 species